GGAAUAUUGGACAAUGGGGGAAACCCUGAUCCAGCAAUGCCGCGUGUGGGAUGAAGGCCCUCGGGUUGUAAACCACUUUUGGCAGGAAAGAAAUCGCCUGUGCUAAUACCACGGGCGGAUGACGGUACCUGCAGAAUAAGCACCGGCUAACUACGUGCCAGCAGCCGCGGUAAUACGUAGGGUGCGAGCGUUAAUCGGAAUUACUGGGCGUAAAGAGUGCGUAGGCGGUUUUGUAAGACAGAUGUGAAAUCCCCGGGCUUAACCUGGGAACUGCAUUUGUGACCGCAAGACUAGAGUGUGUCAGAGGGAGGUGGAAUUCCGCGUGUAGCAGUGAAAUGCGUAGAGAUGCGGAAGAACACCGAUGGCGAAGGCAGCCUCCUGGGAUAACACUGACGCUCAGGCACGAAAGCGUGGGGAGCAAACAGGAUUAGAUACCCUGGUAGUCCACGCCCUAAACGAUGUCAACUGGUUGUUGGGGAUUCAUUUCCUUAGUAACGUAGCUAACGCGUGAAGUUGACCGCCUGGGGAGUACGGCCGCAAGGUUAAAACUCAAAGGAAUUGACGG
rnacentral:rRNA from 1 species